rnacentral:rRNA from 1 species
AAUCAAACCCGGAGAUAUCUCGUUCUCCCCGAAAUAGCUUUAGGGCUAGCCUCGGCCGUUCACCCGCGGUGGUAGAGCCACCGGAUCGACGAGGGGGCUUCACCGCCUACCGACUCGAACCGAACUCCGAAUGCCGCGGGUACACAGGCCGGGAGUCAGAGGGCGUGGGCUAAGCUGCGCGCUCGAGAGGGAAACAGCCCAGACCGCCCGCUAAGGCCCCCAAGUCAUCGCUGAGUGGCAAAGGAUGUGCGUCUGCCCAGACAACCAGGAUGUUGGCUUAGAAGCAGCCAUGCAUUUAAAGAGUGCGUAACAGCUCACUGGUCGAGUGGACAUGCGCCGACAAUUCACGGGGCUAAGCGAUGCGCCGAAGCGGCGGACUGGAAAUUACUCCAGUGGUAGGGGAGCUCUCCGAGGGGGGCGAAGCGGCGCCGCGAGGCGCCGUGGACCGCUCGGAGGUGAGAAUGCUGGCAUGAGUAACGAGAGCGGCGCGAGAAACGCCGCCGCCGUGAGCCUAAGGGUUCCUGGGCGAGGCUAAUCCCCCCAGGGUCAGUCGGGAGCUAAGGCGAGGCCGAGAGGCGUAGCCGAUGCGCAGCGGGCAGACAUUCCCGCACCGCCGACGGCGCGGCAUUACCGAUGGGGCGACGGAGAAGGGUAGCCGGGCGGGGUUCUGGACGUCCCCGUGAAAGCGCGUAGGGCGCGCCGCAUGGAAAUCAGCGGCGCACAUGGGCCUGAGACGCGAGACGAAGCGAACGAGCGAAGCCGGUGAGCCCAUGCUUCCGAGAAAAACCUCUAGGGAGUGCCGUCGGCGCCCGUACCAAAACCGACACAGGUGGGCGGGUAGAACAUACCGAGGCGAUCGGGAGAACCACGGUUAAGGAACUCGGCAUACUGGCCCCGUAACUUCGGGAGAAGGGGCGCCCUCUGGGGUGAAGGCACUUGCUGCCGGAGCGCCGGAGGGCCGCAGCGAAACGGCCCAAGCGACUGUUUAUCAAAAACACAGGACUCUGCAAAGUAGCAAUACGACGUAUAGGGUCUGACGCCUGCCCGGUGCCGGAAGGUUACGCGGAUGAGUUAGCGAAAGCGAAGCCCUGAAGCCAAGCCCCGGUAAACGGCGGCCGUAACUAUAACGGUCCUAAGGUAGCGAAAUUCCUUGUCGGGUAAGUUCCGACCUGCACGAAUGGCGUAACGAUUUGGGCGCUGUCUCAACCGUGGACCCGGUGAAAUUGUACUGUUCGUGAAGAUGCGAACUACCCGCGGAAGGACGGAAAGACCCCGUGAACCUUCACUGCAGCUUGGCAUUGGCAUCUGGUACGGCGCGUAGAGGAUAGGCAGGAGCCCGCGAAGCGGGGGCGCAAGCCCCCGUGGAGGCGACCUUGGAAUACUGCCCCCGUCGUGCCGGCUGCCUAACGCGCGGCCGUCAUCCGGCGCGCGGACCGUGCCAGGCGGGUAGUUUGACUGGGGCGGUCGCCUCCCAAAGAGUAACGGAGGCGCGCGUAAGGUCCGCUCAGGACGGUCGGCAACCGUCCCGAGAGCGCAAGAGUGCAAGCGGGCUUGACUGCGAGACUGACAAGUCGGGCAGGUGCGAAAGCAGGUUCUAGUGAUCCGGCGGCCCAGAGUGGAAUGGCCGUCGCUCAACGGAUAAAAGGUACUCCGGGGAUAACAGGCUGAUCUUCCCCAAGAGUCCACAUCGACGGGAAGGUUUGGCACCUCGAUGUCGGCUCAUCGCAUCCUGGGGCUGGAGCAGGUCCCAAGGGUUGGGCUGUUCGCCCAUUAAAGCGGUACGCGAGCUGGGUUCAGAACGUCGUGAGACAGUUCGGUCCCUAUCCUCCGCGGGCGCAAGGGAGUUGAGGAGAUCUGCCCCUAGUACGAGAGGACCGGGGUGGACGGACCUCUGGUGACGCGGUUGUCGGCCAACGGCACCGCCGCCUAGCUACGUCCGGCACGGAUAACCGCUGAAGGCAUCUAAGUGGGAAGCCGCCUCCGAGAUGAGCUCCCUUUCCGGUAAGGGCCCAGAUAGACUAUCUGGUCGAUAGGGCGCAGCUGCAAGCAGGGCGACCUGCUCAGGCGAGCGCUACUAAUAGCCCGAGCUCUUCUUCU